GAAAAUAAUAAACUUCUUAUAAUAUAUAAUUAGGUAUCUAAUACAACAAGAACAUGUGAUAUGUUGAUAGGAAUUUGAAUAAGUUUUUAAUAGGCAUGAGUUAGGAUUUUUGUUUUAAUUUGUGAUUUUCUAUAAAUGAGUGCCCCAACUAAUUUGAGAUAUAAUAAUGUAUAAAAUGUAGACGGAUUUUCAUAUUUAUUACUGGGGUGGUGCCAGAAAUUUUAGGGGGGUGAGCCGUGAGCAGGUGACUGAGGCAACACAAAGUGUCACCGAACCCCUGUAAGAUCUAUAUUCUAGGGGUGGAGCACUAGAGCCGCGAAGGGGAGUCUAGAGAGCAGAAAACAAAGUAUCCCGGGAAAAAUUUGAAGCUUCGAAAAAAGUUUUUUGAAGUUGUCAAUUUGUCAUAUCAAUGGAUUUGGCGUGUCCGAUAGUUUGUUAAGACUUGUGAGAAUUAAAGACUUAAAGUUAAAUGAACCUAUAAAAGUGUAAACCCAAUAGGCCAAUACACAAUAUGCUUUUACUUUUAUAAAGUCAUGGACAUUGUGUUGUUUGAAUCUGAGUACAUUUAUGAUGCAACUCCGAAAAAUAAUAUUUGGGGCAUAAAGAUUAAAUCUAGGCAAGUCUAUUUCUUCAAAGAAUUAAAAGCUAAAAAUUAGUGUUCGAAAAAUUCCAAACAUUCCUUGCGUGCAAGCUACUGUAUUCGCAUGACAAGGCAGAUAUAAUAAUGU
rnacentral:lncRNA from 1 species